AACGAACGCUGGCGGCAUGCCUAACACAUGCAAGUCGAACGAGACCUUCGGGUCUAGUGGCGCACGGGUGCGUAACGCGUGGGAACCUGCCUUUAGGUUCGGAAUAACUCAGAGAAAUUUGAGCUAAUACCGGAUGAUGUCUUCGGACCAAAGAUUUAUCGCCUUUAGAUGGGCCCGCGUUGGAUUAGCUAGUUGGUGGGGUAAAGGCCUACCAAGGCGACGAUCCAUAGCUGGUCUGAGAGGAAGAUCAGCCACACUGGGACUUAGACACGGCCCAGACUCCUACGGGAGGCAGGAGUGGGGGAUAGUGGAAAAAGGGGGGAAGGCCGAACCCGGCAUGCCGGGUGAAUGAGGAAGGGCGUAAGGUUUUAAAGCCCUUUUAACCCAGAAGGUAAUGACGGUAACGGGAGAAAAAGCCCCGGCUAACUUCGUG
rnacentral:rRNA from 1 species